ACAAGAUUUUUCUCCAAAUUUAGGCGUUUGUUUUGUGCGGUUCAAGUCAGUUCAUACAUUAUUCAAUUCGGUUCCACAACCUUUUUCUUUGGCGCAGUUCAAUCCAGUUUAUUCUUCUUGCGGUAGGCACUCUCGGGUUAGAUCAAUCUUUCCUCAGGCUCAAAGGUUUUCAGGCCAAAGAAGCCCCUUUCAACCGGCCCACUUAUGCCUUCUCAAAUGCCGCCAUCACCGGUCACUACAGUCUCUCUUAGGCCUUUGAUCCAUUACUAGUGAGAAUUUUUUGGAUUAGACUUUUCAACGGUCCAAAGGUUUCUGGCAUGAUUAGUCUCUUCAACUGGCCCUUUUUCUCCCUACUUAACUGAGCCGACUGGGCGAGACAAUCUACUAGUUAGAAUUUUUGGGUCAGACUUUAGCUCAGCCGACCAGGCGAGACGGUCCAAGGAUUUUAGGCAUGAUUAGCCUCUUCAACCAGCUCUGCUUAUCUUAGCCGACCAAGCGAGACGAUCUACUAGUUAGAAUUUUUGGGUCAGACUUUAACUCAGCUAACCAGGCGAGACAGUCCAAGGGUUACGGGCCAAAGAAGCCCCUUUUUAACUGGCCUUGCUUUUCUCAUCUAACCGGGCGAGCUUCUUAAUUACUAGUAUAUGGUUUUCAAGUCAAAUUAUAACCAAGUGAACCUUAAAUGCAUUGUUCAAUUGACGCAGAAUCUGCUGGUCUCUAGCAACUUUUAUGGCGUUACUUCGGCAACUCUUUUUCGGCGAAUUCAACUCUUUCUUUCCCUUUAUUUUAUCCAAACUUAAGCUUACACCUUGAGUUUGAGGGGGGAUGUUAAGAAUAUUAUGUUAGGGUUAUUUAUUUCCUUAUGUGUUCUAGGUCUACUAGGUUUACCUCUUAUGUGUUCUAGGUCUACUAGGUUUACCUUUCUUUAGUCUAUUAGGUUACUUACUUAUUACUCAUAACCUCUUUAUAAAUAGAAGUCUUUGUAGUCAUUCAUUAUCAAUUAAUAUCAAUACAAUGUAGUCCAUUGUGUGCUUCUGCUUUCCCUAUUAUUCUUCCACUAUUCUAUAUCUCUCAAUUAUUCUAACAUGAUAUCAGAGCAUUCUAACACGACUAAUCUACAGUGUGUAUGAGAAAACAUGGGGAGGACCUAGAUAUUAAUUUCCGGUGUGUAUUAGAAUGACGACCAAUACCAGCUCGUGAAGUGGACAAGAAUAUUAAUUUUUUUUUUUAAAAGGUUAGUUUAUUUUAUUAUAGUAAUUCCAUUAGACUGAGGAAAACAACCGAGGUAUCGAUUUUGCAAUUUUCUUGUAUGUCAAGUGUCACAUUUUGCUGUUUUACAGACAUUAAAAAAAAAAAAAUGGAGAGGUAUAAACCGAGUUACUAUAAAGAGUUGACCCAAAUUUUUAAGAAAAAAGUACCUUUAAAGAGCACAAUCUUUGAGCCAAACGCACUUCAAGAGCAAAAAACUUUGGGCUCCAGUGAACAGAGUUACGCUGUGAGUCUUUACAGGAAAGGAAUGAAAGUUGAGGAAGGGGAAGGCUGAGGCUUUCAGGAUCGGAGAUCUAACCGGAGGUGGGACUCUGUUAUCUGAAGAGAACUCCCAGGCUUCGCGUCCGUACUGAUUAACUUUAUCCAAUUUCGUCGCCAUUAAUGCUGAGGAAUAGUACAAUCAACUACAGAUCUCCCACCAGCUCAUGAUCAUUAUACAUUUCAAAUCAAUAAUUUCUCAUUACUGUUAGGGUUGAAGGAGGAAAAAUGUCACUCUCGCUAGUUUGAAGUUGGCAGCUAUCAAUAGUGCAUCUUCAUGACUCUCUUUCUUCUUUUGGCUAUUGGUUUUCUUUUUCUUUUUCUUUUAAUAUAAAAAUAUGAGCAUUUUCGUUUUCAUGUAUAGGAGAUUGGUACUCUACCCAAAUGGGAACACGAAUAGUAAUGGUAACGGCCACAUCUCUCUAUUCUUGGCAAUAGUAGCUGCCAAUGAUCUCCCACUUGGCUGGGAGGUCAACGUGCACAUAAGAUUUUUUGUGUUUGAUCAAAUUCAAGAAAAGUACCUUAGUAUUCAAGGUACCUUUGCCAAGAACUUUGUCUAAAUCUUAAGUUUAAAACUUUGAUUGCAUUUUGUCCA